GCACUCGUAGCUCAACUGGAUAGAGCAACGGUCUACGGAACCGUAGGUUGAAGGUUCGAAUCCUUCCGAGUGCG
rnacentral:tRNA from 2 species